CUCGUAGGUGGUUUGUCGCGUCGUCUGUGAAAUUCCGGGGCUUAACUCCGGGCGUGCAGGCGAUACGGGCAUAACUUGAGUGCUGUAGGGGAGACUGGAAUUCCUGGUGUAGCGGUGAAAUGCGCAGAUAUCAGGAGGAACACCAAUGGCGAAGGCAGGUCUCUGGGCAGUAACUGACGCUGAGGAGCGAAAGCAUGGGUAGCGAACA
rnacentral:rRNA from 1 species